GAAUAGUUUUUUUUUACGCCAAGAACAUUUACCACCCCAUUUUCCUGUAGACGUCCAAAACGAUACUCUACU
rnacentral:tRNA from 1 species